rnacentral:rRNA from 1 species
AUUGAACGCUGGCGGCAGGCCUAACACAUGCAAGUCGAGCGGAUGAAGGGAGCUUGCUCCUGGAUUCAGCGGCGGACGGGUGAGUAAUGCCUAGGAAUCUGCCUGGUAGUGGGGGAUAACGUCCGGAAACGGGCGCUAAUACCGCAUACGUCCUGAGGGAGAAAGUGGGGGAUCUUCGGACCUCACGCUAUCAGAUGAGCCUAGGUCGGAUUAGCUAGUUGGUGGGGUAAAGGCCUACCAAGGCGACGAUCCGUAACUGGACUGAGAGGAUGGUCAGUCACACUUGAAAUUAGGACCCGUACCGGCACCUUCGGGAGGCAGCAGGGGGGAAGUUUAGGAAAUGGGCGAAAGCCUGAUCCAGCCAUGCCGCGUGUGUGAAGAAGGUCUUCGGAUUGUAAAGCACUUUAAGUUGGGAGGAAAGGCAGUAAGUUAAUACCUUGCUGUUUUGACGUUACCAACAGAAUAAGCACCGGCUAACUUCGUG